UCCAAAUUUACCCCAUUUUUUCCCCUGGAACAAGAGGAGAACAGAAUUACCCCACUUCCGUUCUCAAGCUCCAUCGUCGCUGUGCUCGAGCUCGAUCGCCGCUCCGCCGUCGUCGUUCCCGAGCAGGGAUUUCCCCACCGCCAUCUCCUCCGCCUGCUCCUCCGCUGCCAUCCGCCGCGGGAAGUACACCGAAGCUGUGCACAUGAGAUGGAAGCGACGCAGGAGGCCGCGGCGGAGGAGGGGUGGGGACGGCGGGUGAUCAAUCUCAACCUCGUCGGCAUUUCUACACCUGUCCAUUGAUUUUGAGCUUGUAUGGGUUAAUGGGUAGCUGUUUUAAUUUCUACUGAAGUCCAUUGAUCGUUGGGGGGAAAUCUACGUUUUGUGGUGUAUAGUUCUCUGUUUCUAUUGGGUUGGAACUGAUGUAUUGGAAGAUGAUCAAAACAAUGAAGCUGAAGAACCUGGUUCUUUACCAAGUGAACCUGAUCGCUUUCCUGGUGCUCUUGUCCUCGAGAGGCUCAAUGUGACUUACUUGGAGAUAAUUAUUUGGAGGAACUGUAAUUUACGCAAAGUUGCUGAGCAUUUUCUUUUAGUAUAGAUAAGUCAUGAUUGCUGCAUAGAGCUUGGUUGCUUCUCAUGUUGUUGAUAAAGUCAAUAGUUAGGAGGAAAAUUUCUUGGCACAAAGAUGACAGUUAUUAUAUGGCCUUGUUUCGGUCUGAAUACAUCAAAAGUUCACGAGGGCUGUGUAGCUUGCAAAGCUUUACUGCUUUAUAUGGUUACCUUGUAUUUAUAGAGUUCUCUACAACCCAGAGCAUUCGGAUGGACAUUGUAUAUAUGUUUAUAAAUUCUUUGUAAUUCUUAACUUCAAUGUAAUCGCUAUUGUUUUGUC